rnacentral:rRNA from 1 species
UACGGAGGGUGCAAGCGUUAUCCGGAUUCACUGGGUUUAAAGGGUGCGUAGGCGGACAGGUAAGUCAGUGGUGAAAUCUCUGGGCUUAACCCAGAAACUGCCGUUGAUACUAUUUGUCUUGAAUAUCCUGGAGGUAGGCGGAAUAUGGAACUUCUGGUGGAGCGGUGAAAUGCGUUGAUAUCAGAAGGAACGCCGGUGGCGAAAGCGACGUGCUGGACCUCUUCUGACGCUGAUGCGCGAAAGCUAGGGGAGCAAACGGG